GGACCUUUAGCACAGUUGGUUAGUGCGUUCGGCUCAUAACCGAAUGGUCCUUGGUUCGAGUCCAAGAAGGUCCACCA
rnacentral:tRNA from 1 species